GAUCAUGUAUAAAAGAUCCAAAAUGCAGAAUGCACCUUUUGUGUUUGCUUUAGUUGCUACAUGUGUCACUUUAGAGACUCUCAGUGCCACACCUACAUUCAUUAUAUGCAGAAUACACAGCUCUAAUCUCCCAUAAUCAUCACUCUGGCUUAAAGAUUAUAUAGAUGGAAAGUUUCAUCUUUCAGACUUUAUGUCAACUAUACGUAAUAUCUGAACUACAUGAUCAUGUUUGUGAUUAACGGCUUGAGAUUGAUCACCACUUUUAAUUAAAAUCUGGAUGCACGUGCCAUCUUCCAUCGCAUAGUACACAAAUCCCUAUAGUACUGGCGGUAGCAUCUGCAGAGCCUUUGGGCGUAAAGGUGGUGGACAACAAGGCUCUCUAGCUAGUUUUCAUUUGUUUAGGUUCUGUGGUGGCCAUGCAUUUGAAGCUCUUAACAAAAGUUCUUGUUGCUAUAUGAUGGGUAAUGAUUAGACAUGA
rnacentral:lncRNA from 1 species